CAUUCUGCUGUAGGCAGCCAUGGGCCUGAUCUGGCCCCUGGACUUUCACAGGGCUCAGCAGACUCUGAGGAAGGGAGGGAACCAUGAUCCCAGAGAGGCUCCAAGACAGAUUGGAAAGACCAUCCUAGGUGGGGGAGUUACAAAGGAUUCUAACAGUUUGUUUGGCUGAAAUAUGGAUCAAAAGGCCAGACUUCACAUUGGAAACCAUAGCCACUCAACUGGAAAUCUACAUGCAACAGGGGGUAACUGGAUUCCAAGGUGACAGGGCCAAGUGGCGGCACCCAGCCAUCAAAUGCAAGUUUUAUGCUCUACUGGUCUAGAGGUCUUAGUUCCAGAGAAAGAAAUGCUUCCACAAGGAGACACAACAACGAUUCCACUGAACUGGAGGUUAAAACUACCACUCAGCCACUUUGGGUGCCUCAUGACGCUGAGUCAACAGGCAAAAAGGGAGUUACUCUAUAGGCUGGGGUGAUUUACCUGAUUGCCAUUGGGGAAAUUGGACUACUACUCCGCAAUAGAGGAACUGACUCAGCACAAGAAGACAGCUUCGACUCCUUAGGAUUUCAUCUUUGACCAAUCAGCCUCCUGGCUCGCUGGCUUCCCCCCACCCACCAAGUUGUCCUUAAAAACUCUGCUCCC